GCGAACGCUGGCGGCAUGCCUAACACAUGCAAGUCGAACGAGACCUUCUGGUCUAGUGGCGCACGGGUGCGUAACGCGUGGGAACCUGCCUUUAGGUUCGGAAUAACUCAGAGUAAUUUGAGCUAAUACCGGAUGAUGUCUUCGGACCAAAGAUUUAUCGCCUUUAGAUGGGCCCGCGUUGGAUUAGCUAGUUGGUGGGGUAAAGGCCUACCAAGGCGACGAUCCAUAGCUGGUCUGAGAGGAUGAUCAGCCACACUGGGACUGAGACACGGCCCAGACUCCUAAGGGAGGAAGCAGUGGGGAAUAUUGGACAAUGGGCGAAAGCCUGAUCCAGCAAUGCCGCGUGAGUGAUGAAGGCCUUAGGGUUGUAAAGCUCUUUUACCCGAGAUGAUAAUGACAGUAGCGGGAGAAUAAGCUCCGGCUAACUCCGUG
rnacentral:rRNA from 1 species